rnacentral:rRNA from 1 species
AUGGAAAAGUUCACCAAAAAUAAGAUUUUUAAGAUAGCAAUGUGUGUUAUGUUCCAGAAACUUAACGUAGCAGUAUCAGCAAAUAGUGAGUGGAACAUAUAUUUUUGCUUUUUCUUUAGUCUUAUUCUACCCGCAGUAACAGAAGUACUGCUGUGUGUUUUUAUGUUUUUUUACCUAGUCCUUACUAUGUUUGUCUACGACUAUUUUUUUGCUUCUCUAUGGUUUCUUGGGGGACUGAACACCAUUGUAGCUUUCUUUAGAGGAGAAAAGCCACGACGAAACAUUAUUUGUGUUUUUGUUUCACUCUUUUUUUGCAGGACUCACCUACAAAAAUAUCAAAGCUAUACAUGGAAGGCCCUAAUAAGAAAACUACAGCAGCUACUCUCCGGGUGUAGUACAAAAAAAGACGAUAGUAGUUGCCCAGGGAUCAGGGAGAAAAAUGAGGGAGAACGAAGGGAAGAAGGAGUCCUUCCGAUCGUGGGAAUGGAGGAAAGGAUCCUUCCAUAUUUUUUGAGUGGGGGGAGAGAGAGAAGGGGGCCUAGCAUUGGGGUGCCAGGGGAGCCGAGAGAAAAAACGUGGGAGCUGUGGCGUGCACGCAAUCGAGAGAUGGGGGCCAGGCGCUUUUUUCACUUCGAUGGGUGGUCGGGGAACGCGCUAGACGACGGGCCUUCUACUUUCCAUGUCUAG